UACGUAGGGAGCAAGCGUUGUUCGGAUUUACUGGGCGUAAAGGGCGCGUAGGCGGCCUGUCAAGUCAACUGUGAAAUCUCCGGGCUUAACUCGGAACGGUCAGUUGAUACUGUCAGGCUAGAGUGCAGAAGGGGCAAUCGGAAUUCUUGGUGUAGCGGUGAAAUGCGUAGAUAUCAAGAGGAACACCUGAGGUGAAGACGGGUUGCUGGGCUGACACUGACGCUGAGGCGCGAAAGCCAGGGGAGCAAACAGG
rnacentral:rRNA from 1 species